GUUAAUGAGGCGAACCGGGGGAACUGAAACAUCUAAGUACCCCGAGGAAAAGAAAUCAACCGAGAUUCCCCCAGUAGCGGCGAGCGAACGGGGAGCAGCCCAGAGCCUGAAUCAGUGUGUGUGUUAGUGGAAGCGUCUGGAAAGGCGCGCGAUACAGGGUGACAGCCCCGUACACAAAAAUGCACAUACUGUGAGCUCGAUGAGUAGGGCGGGACACGUGGUAUCCUGUCUGAAUAUGGGGGGACCAUCCUCCAAGGCUAAAUACUCCUGACUGACCGAUAGUGAACCAGUACCGUGAGGGAAAGGCGAAAAGAACCCCGGCGAGGGGAGUGAAAAAGAACCUGAAACCGUGUACGUACAAGCAGUGGGAGCACAGAGCAAUCUGUGUGACUGCGUACCUUUUGUAUAAUGGGUCAGCGACUUAUAUUCUGUAGCAAGGUUAACCGAAUAGGGGAGCCGAAGGGAAACCGAGUCUUAACUGGGCGUUAAGUUGCAGGGUAUAGACCCGAAACCCGGUGAUCUAGCCAUGGGCAGGUUGAAGGUUGGGUAACACUAACUGGAGGACCGAACCGACUAAUGUUGAAAAAUUAGCGGAUGACUUGUGGCUGGGGGUGAAAGGCCAAUCAAACCGGGAGAUAGCUGGUUCUCCCCGAAAGCUAUUUAGGUAGCGCCUCGUGAAUUCAUCUCCGGGGGUAGAGCACUGUUUCGGCAAGGGGGUCAUCCCGACUUACCAACCCGAUGCAAACUGCGAAUACCGGAGAAUGUUAUCACGGGAGACACACGGCGGGUGCUAACGUCCGUCGUGAAGAGGGAAACAACCCAGACCGCCAGCUAAGGUCCCAAAGUCAUGGUUAAGUGGGAAACGAUGUGGGAAGGCCCAGACAGCCAGGAUGUUGGCUUAGAAGCAGCCAUCAUUUAAAGAAAGCGUAAUAGCUCACUGGUCGAGUCGGCCUGCGCGGAAGAUGUAACGGGGCUAAACCAUGCACCGAAGCUGCGGCAGCGACGCUUAUGCGUUGUUGGGUAGGGGAGCGUUCUGUAAGCCUGUGAAGGUGUACUGUGAGGUAUGCUGGAGGUAUCAGAAGUGCGAAUGCUGACAUAAGUAACGAUAAAGCGGGUGAAAAGCCCGCUCGCCGGAAGACCAAGGGUUCCUGUCCAACGUUAAUCGGGGCAGGGUGAGUCGACCCCUAAGGCGAGGCCGAAAGGCGUAGUCGAUGGGAAACAGGUUAAUAUUCCUGUACUUGGUGUUACUGCGAAGGGGGGACGGAGAAGGCUAUGUUGGCCGGGCGACGGUUGUCCCGGUUUAAGCGUGUAGGCUGGUUUUCCAGGCAAAUCCGGAAAAUCAAGGCUGAGGCGUGAUGACGAGGCACUACGGUGCUGAAGCAACAAAUGCCCUGCUUCCAGGAAAAGCCUCUAAGCAUCAGGUAACAUCAAAUCGUACCCCAAACCGACACAGGUGGUCAGGUAGAGAAUACCAAGGCGCUUGAGAGAACUCGGGUGAAGGAACUAGGCAAAAUGGUGCCGUAACUUCGGGAGAAGGCACGCUGAUAUGUAGGUGAAGCGACUUGCUCGUGGAGCUGAAAUCAGUCGAAGAUACCAGCUGGCUGCAACUGUUUAUUAAAAACACAGCACUGUGCAAACACGAAAGUGGACGUAUACGGUGUGACGCCUGCCCGGUGCCGGAAGGUUAAUUGAUGGGGUCAGCGCAAGCGAAGCUCUUGAUCGAAGCCCCGGUAAACGGCGGCCGUAACUAUAACGGUCCUAAGGUAGCGAAAUUCCUUGUCGGGUAAGUUCCGACCUGCACGAAUGGCGUAAUGAUGGCCAGGCUGUCUCCACCCGAGACUCAGUGAAAUUGAACUCGCUGUGAAGAUGCAGUGUACCCGCGGCAAGACGGAAAGACCCCGUGAACCUUUACUAUAGCUUGACACUGAACAUUGAGCCUUGAUGUGUAGGAUAGGUGGGAGGCUUUGAAGUGUGGACGCCAGUCUGCAUGGAGCCGACCUUGAAAUACCACCCUUUAAUGUUUGAUGUUCUAACGUUGACCCGUAAUCCGGGUUGCGGACAGUGUCUGGUGGGUAGUUUGACUGGGGCGGUCUCCUCCUAAAGAGUAACGGAGGAGCACGAAGGUUGGCUAAUCCUGGUCGGACAUCAGGAGGUUAGUGCAAUGGCAUAAGCCAGCUUGACUGCGAGCGUGACGGCGCGAGCAGGUGCGAAAGCAGGUCAUAGUGAUCCGGUGGUUCUGAAUGGAAGGGCCAUCGCUCAACGGAUAAAAGGUACUCCGGGGAUAACAGGCUGAUACCGCCCAAGAGUUCAUAUCGACGGCGGUGUUUGGCACCUCGAUGUCGGCUCAUCACAUCCUGGGGCUGAAGUAGGUCCCAAGGGUAUGGCUGUUCGCCAUUUAAAGUGGUACGCGAGCUGGGUUUAGAACGUCGUGAGACAGUUCGGUCCCUAUCUGCCGUGGGCGCUGGAGAACUGAGGGGGGCUGCUCCUAGUACGAGAGGACCGGAGUGGACGCAUCACUGGUGUUCGGGUUGUCAUGCCAAUGGCACUGCCCGGUAGCUAAAUGCGGAAGAGAUAAGUGCUGAAAGCAUCUAAGCACGAAACUUGCCCCGAGAUGAGUUCUCCCUGACUCCUUGAGAGUCCUGAAGGAACGUUGAAGACGACGACGUUGAUAGGCCGGGUGUGUAAGCGCAGCGAUGCGUUGAGCUAACCGGUACUAAUGAACCGUGAGG
rnacentral:rRNA from 1 species